GUUCUUCCGGGCGAGGUUCCCGCACGGCCGGGCCUAGCGCUUCUAAUGUGAGGAAAAACACGGAAUGACAAGUGUGGGAAAGAGCAAGCACUAAAUUACUGUCAGAAAAAUAAACGGAGUAGCACAGUGGUGCUCAGUGAUUUACGGGGGCAAUUAGUCACCACCCCACGGCGCUGCUGAGGACAGCACGGCAGCAGACACGUCAGGCCCAUGAGGAAGAAGAGGCUUGGCGCUGCUCUCCAGACAACUUUUCAAACAACAAGAGAGGAUAUUUGAGCACAUUAGGUUCCAUGUCUUCAUUCUGGGUGCCUACCCUUCACAUUAUUCCACCAACUUAAUACAUAAACGUAUUUU